rnacentral:rRNA from 1 species
GGGGAAUAUUGCACAAUGGGCGAAAGCCUGAUGCAGCAACGCCGCGUGAGUGAUGAAGGUCUUCGGAUUGUAAAGCUCUGUCUUUUGGGACGAUAAUGACGGUACCAAAGGAGGAAGCCACGGCUAACUACGUGCCAGCAGCCGCGGUAAUACGUAGGUGGCGAGCGUUGUCCGGAUUUACUGGGCGUAAAGGGUGCGUAGGCGGAUGUUUAAGUGAGAUGUGAAAUACCCGGGCUUAACUUGGGUGCUGCAUUUCAAACUGGAUAUCUAGAGUGCAGGAGAGGAGAAUGGAAUUCCUAGUGUAGCGGUGAAAUGCGUAGAGAUUAGGAAGAACACCAGUGGCGAAGGCGAUUCUCUGGACUGUAACUGACGCUGAGGCACGAAAGCGUGGAUAGCAAACAGGAUUAGAUACCCUGGUAGUCCACGCCGUAAACGAUGAGUACUAGGUGUAGGAGGUAUCGACCCCUUCUGUGCCGCAGUAAACACAUUAAGUACUCCG